CCUACGGGUGGCACCAGUGGGGAAUAUUGCACAAUGGGGGAAACCCUGAUGCAGCAACGCCGCGUGAGUGAUGACGGCCUUCGGGUUGUAAAGCUCUGUCUUCAGGGACGAUAAUGACGGUACCUGAGGAGGAAGCCACGGCUAACUACGUGCCAGCAGCCGCGGUAAUACGUAGGUGGCGAGCGUUGUCCGGAUUUACUGGGCGUAAAGGGAGCGUAGGCGGACUUUUAAGUGAGAUGUGAAAUACCCGGGCUCAACUUGGGUGCUGCAUUUCAAACUGGAAGUCUAGAGUGCAGGAGAGGAGAAUGGAAUUCCUAGUGUAGCGGUGAAAUGCGUAGAGAUUAGGAAGAACACCAGUGGCGAAGGCGAUUCUCUGGACUGUAACUGACGCUGAGGCUCGAAAGCGUGGGGAGCAAACAGGAUUAGAUACCCCGGUAGUC
rnacentral:rRNA from 1 species